GGAAGAAGAGAGAGAUCUGGAUUCUUUUUUGGUUUAAGAAAUAUGAUUUUCCAUGAAUCAAUCGAUUCAUGUGUUUUGAAUCUAGGCACGUUGAUUUGAUUCAGAUAAUUAUAAUCUCAAUUAACAAGUCCAAUCAACAAAUAUUUUAUUAUUUCAUUUUCUUCCUUUCUUCUCUCUUCUCUGCAACUCACAUAGAUGUUAGCGUUUGAAGAAAUUUUCAAUCUCGUCUUGACACGAUUCGGCUUUAAUGUACAUCAUCUUAGUAUAAGUUCCAUAUUCACUGAAACCAGAUCUAAUAUUUAUGUCAGAAUUGAAGAUUUUUGAGAUCGAGAUAUUCAAUCAAAUAUCAAGGACAGUCUUUUACACAAUUUGGACAUGAUGGCUGAAAGUGAGAACUUUCGAACUGAAGCUCAAGUUGCUUAAUGCUAGUGGACCAAUCUUUUGCUAGUUUCUCGACAGAAUCGGGUCACUUGCCAAGUGAAGUGCAGUUAUCUGAUAUAAUCUUUCCAGACCCUUUAUAUUUAUCAGAUACAAAAGAGGCCGAUGGAAGUGAUGCUGGUAGAGAAUGAUGAUAUGAGCCAUGGUGGUAGUUGUAGCUGGUAGGAUAAAUGUUGUUGAAGGUGUGCACAGUGCUGUUGGACAUGAUGUGAAGUUACAGGUGCUCAUAGUGGUCCUGGUGAAGUGCAGAUACAAUUGGAGUUGCUGGUUUAGAUGCAUGUUUAUGACAGCGAAGUGCAAUAACAGGUAUUUGUGAUUCUUAGUUUGCAGCUGGUUGGUUGUACGGGUGCUAGGAAGAUAUA